rnacentral:lncRNA from 1 species
AAUUAUACUUAUACAUAUGGUAGAAAACAUCUAACAGGUAUAAUUCAUAAAUAGUAUAUGAUAAAGCUCUAAAUUUACCUUUUUUUAGCACUAGUAUAUAUAUAAAUUUCAUUUUCUCAUUCAGUCUUAUAAUAUACAAACCCAUAAGUUGGGGUAUAAACAAAAAUUAAUUAAUCAUAAAUAUCUCUAAAACUAGGAAUUAUGUACAAUAAAUGAGGUCAGGGGUAUACAUAAUGCAAAUUUCAUUUCCCCUUCAUUCAAAGUUGAUAUCUUAACAUCACAUUCAUACAUGCUUUUUAUACAUCAAUAAUUAAGCAAAUGGGACAUUUAAAUAACAAACACAGCUUAUGCAUACUAUUUAAUCAUUAUUAAGUAAAUGGGACAUUUAAAUAACAAACACAGCUACUCUGAAAUAUAUAUCACAUUACACAUCAUGCUUUUCUGGCAAUAACAUUUCAUUCAAGACUCUUUAUUACUUUACAGACAAAAGUAUAGAAC